GACAGAGGGUGCAAACGUUGUUCGGAUUUACUGGGCGUAAAGCGCGUGUAGGCGGCUUUGCAAGUCGGAUGUGAAAUCCCACGGCUCAACCGUGGAAGUGCAUCCGAAACUGCAUCGCUGGAGUCUCGGAGAGGAAGGUGGAAUGCUUGGUGUAGAGGUGAAAUUCGUAGAUAUCAACAGAACACCUGCGGCGAAGGCGGCCUCUGGACGAUGACUGACGCUGAGACGCGAAAGCGUGGGGAGCAAACAGG
rnacentral:rRNA from 1 species